UACGGAGGGUGCAAGCGUUAUCCGGAUUCACUGGGUUUAAAGGGUGCGUAGGCGGGUUGGUAAGUCAGAGGUGAAAUCUCCGAGCUUAACUUGGAAACUGCCAUUGAUACUAUCAGUCUUGAAUAUUGUGGAGGUCAGCGGAAUAUGUCAUGUAGCGGUGAAAUGCUUAGAUAUGACAUAGAACACCAAUUGCGAAGGCAGCUGGCUACACAUAUAUUGACACUGAGGCACGAAAGCGUGGGGAUCAAACAGG
rnacentral:rRNA from 1 species